GAUGAACGCUGGCGGCGUGCCUAAUACAUGCAAGUCGAGCGAACAGACGAGGAGCUUGCUCCUCUGACGUUAGCGGCGGACGGGUGAGUAACACGUGGAUAACCUACCUAUAAGACUGGGAUAACUUCGGGAAACCGGAGCUAAUACCGGAUAAUAUAUUGAACCGCAUGGUUCAAUAGUGAAAGACGGUUUUGCUGUCACUUAUAGAUGGAUCCGCGCCGCAUUAGCUAGUUGGUAAGGUAACGGCUUACCAAGGCAACGAUGCGUAGCCGACCUGAGAGGGUGAGCGGCCACACUGGAACUGAGACACGGUCCAGACUCCUACGGGAGGCAGCAGUAGGGAAUCUUCCGCAAUGGGCGAAAGCCUGACGGAGCAACGCCGCGUGAGUGAUGAAGGUCUUCGGAUCGUAAAACUCUGUUGUUAGGGAAGAACAAAUGUGUAAGUAACUAUGCACGUCUUGACGGUACCUAAUCAGAAAGCCACGGCUAACUACGUG
rnacentral:rRNA from 1 species